rnacentral:snRNA from 13 species
GCCAUUUCAAGCUCUUGUAGAAUUUGUCUAGUAGGUUUUCCAGUAUUGGCUGGAAAGCCCUU